AUUCUCAUAGCUGUGUCCUAUCUGUCUCUUAGUUGUUUAUUUCAGUAAGGGUCUAUGUUCUUGUUUUGGCAAGACAGUGCUAGGACUUGAACCCAGGACCCUACACGUAUUAGGUAAAUACUGUGCCACUGAACCAUAUCUCCAGCUGUCCUCACUAUUUAUAUUUCCCUAUGGCUCUCUCUAUUAAGAAUCUGACCUAGGCCUAUUAUCAUGAAAUAACAAGUUUAACAAAACAGACCUUACAUUUUUACCAUUUUAUUUCAAUUUAAGUUCUCAGUAAUAAAGAAAGGAAAUAACUUCUUACUUUUCACAGAUAGUGUACAAAAAUUUGCCAGGAACUUGCAUGUACUUCUUUUUUAAAAUAAUUGUAGUAAGAUGUAUAUUAAUGUGUCCCUGUGUGCAUGAGUGUGUGCAUGCAUGCAUGUGUGCAAGUCCUUGUGAUCUGGUGCUCUCUGAAGCCAGAAGAGGGCAUCAGAUCUGGAUCGCAGCUGGUUGUGAGCUAUUUAUGCAGGUUCUAGGCAGAGAAGUUGGGUCCCCUGCAUUAGCAGACAAUCUCUAAACCACUGAAUCUUUUCUAAUUCAUGUUUCUAAUAUCUGCCCCAUGCAUGUUUUCACUUCAUUUUCCUGAGUAAUACACAAAUUAAAUGCUUUUCAUGGGCCAAUAUCAUAACAUAGUAAAAAUAGAUAAAAACUUAUCUAUACUAAAUACUUUUUUCUCAUCCUAGGUCUCUACAUAACUGAGUAUAUCUACUAUUUAUAUGUUGUAUUUAUAUUAUAUAUUAUACAUUAUAUAUUAUUUAUUAUAUAUUAUAAUUCAUUAACCUAGGGAUGAUUUAAAGUGUAUAUAUAUAUGUAUAUAUAUGUAUAAAUAAAGUUAUAUGCAAUUACAUCAUUGUUGUGUAUAAAGGACUUGAACAUACAUAGAUUUUGGAAUCCAAAGAACUCCCUAAAAUAAGUGCCCCUGGAGAUGCCAAGAAGUGGCUUUGCAUCUGCAGAGCCCCGCAGCCAUUUCCCAGCCUGGACUCUUCCCCUCUCUCAUCCCCUCCCACACUCCUUUUCUCCUCUCCAGCUGUCAGACGUUUACACUCAUUUGCACUAUUACUAUUUGUCAAUAACUUUUUUAAUAAAGUGAAUACAGAGAUCUGGUCUCUCAAUGGGUAAAAUCGAUUUGCUAGAUUGGGUAAUAGUAAUUGUUUAAUAAUUUUUAGUACAAUUUUCUAGCAACAAUGAAUGAUUCAUUUUAGAAGCCUGUUUCCUCAGAAAGCCCAUUUAAACUGGCACAUAUGUGAAAUCAUAGCUUUAAGAAAGAACACCUUAUUUAUUUUAUCAGAAACGUAGUAAUGAUCUUCCAAAUACUUGCAUAUUCCAUGUUUUGUUAACACCUCUUUCAUGUGCCCAGAAAUAUUGCUAGAUUGCUAAGGAAAGCAUUUACAAAACAUUUGUUCAGUAAGAAUAACCCGAACAGCAGAGCUUGUAAACACAUAUGUUGUCAAAUACUUACUGACAAGUAUCCUUGCUUUUAAAAAAAAAAAUGAUUUUAAAAUGUUCUCUUCCAAGGAAAACAUAUUGAGCACCAUUAUUUUGACUAUAAUGUCAGUAAUCUCUAAAUGUCAUCUGCUAACUUUUAAAAUGUUGAACCUAAAUUAGAUCAGUAAUAAAACAACUUCAUGAAAAAAACCUAGAGACAUAAAAUAGUUGUAAGCACCUUUGUAAAAGAAGCUCCCCUAGCAAAUGACAGAAAGGCAAGGAGUGCUGAUGUCAUAGGUUACUAGAGGCGCAGGAUAUUAUAAUUCUAAGAAUGCAUGUUUACGGUUUUGAAUUAACCAUUUUCUGUGCUGUUGCCUCUGGCAUCAUUAAGGGAUUUUGUUAUUAUUAUUGUUUGGUUUGCUUUGCUUAUUUUUUGGAGACAGAAGCUUUUUUCUACACACCUGGCUGUCCUGGCCCCUGUUUUAUAGACUUCACUAGUUUUGAAUUUACAGUGAUCCUGUUCCUCUCCCUCCUAAAUGCUAGGAAUGCAGGAAGCCCCACAGCACAUCAUGCCUCGCUGCUGCUUUUACUCUCUCAAUAAGAAUCUUACUAGUCACCUCAAAUUUAGACAAAAUUCAAGCUUGGUUCUUGUCAUGACCUUCAUAUUUUUCU
rnacentral:lncRNA from 1 species